rnacentral:rRNA from 1 species
UACGGGGGGGGCAAGCGUUGUUCGGAAUUACUGGGCGUAAAGGGCUCGUAGGCGGCCAACUAAGUCAGACGUGAAAUCCCUCGGCUUAACCGGGGAACUGCGUCUGAUACUGGAUGGCUUGAGUUCGGGAGAGGGAUGCGGAAUUCCAGGUGUAGCGGUGAAAUGCGUAGAUAUCUGGAGGAACACCGGUGGCGAAGGCGGCAUCCUGGACCGACACUGACACUGAGGAGCGAAAGCCAGGGAGCAAACGGG